rnacentral:rRNA from 1 species
AUUGAACGCUAGCGGGAUGCCUUACACAUGCAAGUCGAACGGAGUGGAGAACGGGCGAGUAAUGUAUCGGUACGUGCCCUGUAGCGGGGGAUAACUACGCGAAAGCGUAGCUAAUCCCGCAUACUAUUGGAGCGGCCGAUAUCGGAUUAGCUAGUUGGUGGGGUAACGGCUUACCAAGGCGACGAUCCGUAGCGGGUUUGAGAGGACGACCAGCCACACUGGGACUGAGACACGGCCCAGACUCCUACGGGAGGCAGCAGUGGGGAAUUUUGGACAAUGGGGGAAACCCGGAUCCAGCCAGCCCGCGUGGGCGAGGAAGGCCUUCGGGUUGUAAAGCACUUUUGGCAGGAAAGCGGUACCUGCAGAAUAAGCACCGGCUAACUACGUGCCAGCAGCCGCGGUAAUUC